rnacentral:rRNA from 1 species
GAUGAACGCUGGCGGCGUACCUAAUACAUGCAAGUCGAGCGAACGGACGAGAAGCUUGCUUCUCUGAUGUUAGCGGCGGACGGGUGAGUAACACGUGGAUAACCUACCUAUAAGACUGGGAUAACUUCGGGAAACCGGAGCUAAUACCGGAUGAUAUUUUGAACCGCAUGGUUCAAAAGUGAAAGACGGUCUUGCUGUCACUUAUAGAUGGAUCCGCGCUGCAUUAGCUAGUUGGUAAGGUAACGGCUUACCAGGGCAACGAUGCAUAGCCGACCUGAGAGGGUGAUCGGCCACACUGGAACUGAGACACGGUCCAGACUCCUACGGGAGGCAGCAGUAGGGAAUCUUCCGCAAUGGGCGAAAGCCUGACGGAGCAACGCCGCGUGAGUGAUGAAGGUCUUCGGAUCGUAAAACUCUGUUAUUAGGGAAGAACAUAUGUGUAAGUAACUGUGCACAUCUUGACGGUACCUAAUCAGAAAGCCACGGCUAACUACGUG